AGAGUUUGAUCCUGGCUCAGGAUGAACGCUAGCGACAGGCUUAACACAUGCAAGUCGAGGGGCAGCGGGGGAGUAGCAAUACUCCCGCCGGCGACCGGCGCACGGGUGAGUAACACGUAUGAAACCUGCCCGUAGCAGGGGGAUAAGCGGAAGAAAUUCCGUCUAAUACCGCGUAACAACCCUUGGAGGCAUCUCCUCGGGUUUAAAGGAAGCGAUUCCGGCUACGGAUGGUCAUGCGUCGCAUUAGCUUGUUGGCGGGGUAACGGCCCACCAAGGCGACGAUGCGUAGGGGUUCUGAGAGGAAGGUCCCCCACACUGGUACUGAGACACGGACCAGACUCCUACGGGAGGCAGCAGUGAGGAAUAUUGGUCAAUGGGCGGGAGCCUGAACCAGCCAAGUCGCGUGAGGGAUGACGGUCCUGUGGAUUGUAAACCUCUUUUGUCAGGGAGCAAAGGGCGUCACGUGUGGCGCUUUGCGAGUACCUGAAGAAAAAGCAUCGGCUAACUCCGUGCCAGCAGCCGCGGUAAUACGGAGGAUGCGAGCGUUAUCCGGAUUUAUUGGGUUUAAAGGGUGCGCAGGCGGAAUGUCAAGUCAGCGGUAAAAUUUCGGGGCUCAACCCCGUCGUGCCGUUGAAACUGGCGUUCUUGAGUGAGCGAGAAGUAUGCGGAAUGCGUGGUGUAGCGGUGAAAUGCAUAGAUAUCACGCAGAACUCCGAUUGCGAAGGCAGCAUACCGGCGCCCAACUGACGCUGAAGCACGAAAGCGUGGGUAUCGAACAGGAUUAGAUACCCUGGUAGUCCACGCAGUAAACGAUGAAUACUAGCUGUCCGGGGCGAAUGAGCCCUGGGUGGCACAGCGAAAGCGUUAAGUAUUCCACCUGGGGAGUACGCCGGCAACGGUGAAACUCAAAGGAAUUGACGGGGGCCCGCACAAGCGGAGGAACAUGUGGUUUAAUUCGAUGAUACGCGAGGAACCUUACCCGGGCUCAAACGACACAGGAACGUACCUGAAAGGGUUCGGCUCUACGGAGCCUGUGUCGAGGUGCUGCAUGGUUGUCGUCAGCUCGUGCCGUGAGGUGUCGGCUUAAGUGCCAUAACGAGCGCAACCCCCAUCGACAGUUGCUAACAGGUCAGGCUGAGGACUCUGUCGAGACUGCCGGCGCAAGCUGCGAGGAGGGCGGGGAUGACGUCAAAUCAGCACGGCCCUUACGUCCGGGGCGACACACGUGUUACAAUGGCAGGUACAGCGGGAAGCCACCUGGCGACAGGGAGCGGAACCCGAAAGCCUGUCUCAGUUCGGAUUGGAGUCUGCAACCCGACUCCAUGAAGCUGGAUUCGCUAGUAAUCGCGCAUCAGCCACGGCGCGGUGAAUACGUUCCCGGGCCUUGCACUCACCGCCCGUCAAG
rnacentral:rRNA from 1 species